rnacentral:rRNA from 1 species
AUCGUGAUAAGGGAACCCCGAGUGCCCGUAAAUUCGGGCUGUCCGCCAGUGUAAAUAACUGGUGAAGAAAGGGCCGGGCAAGACCGGUGCCAGCCGCCGCGGUAAUACCGGCGGCUCGAGUGGUGGCCACUAUUACUGGGCUUAAAGCGUCCGUAGCUGGAUUGUUAAGUCUCUUGGGAAAUCCACCGGCUCAACCGAUGGGCGUUCAGGAGAAACUGGCAAUCUAGGGACCGGGAGAGGUGAGAGGUACUCCAGGGGUAGGAGUGAAAUCUUGUAAUCCUUGGGGGACCACCUGUGGCGAAGGCGUCUCACUAGAACGGCUCCGACAGUGAGGGACGAAAGCUGGGGGAGCAAACCGGAUUAGAUACCCGGGUAGUCCCAGCCGUAAACGAUGCGCGUUAGGUGUAUCGGUGACCACGAGUCAUCGAGGUGCCGAAGGGAAACCGUGAAACGU